AGCGAACGCUGGCGGCGUGCUUAACACAUGCAAGUCGAGUGCGCGUCUGUAGCAAUACAGAUGGCGCACGGCGCACGGGUGCGUAACACGUGGGCAAUCUGCCCUUCGAUGGGGAAUAACCUCGCGAAAGCGAGGCUAAUUCCGCAUAACAUUCCGAUGAUCUAGGUCAAUGGAUUCAAAGCCGUAAGGCGUCGAAGGAGGAGCCCGCGCACGAUUAGCUAGUUGGUGAGGUAACGGCUCACCAAGGCUAUGAUCGUUAGCUGGUCUGAGAGGAUGGCCAGCCACACUGGAACUGAGACACGGUCCAGACUCCUACGGGAGGCAGCAGUGGGGAAUCUU
rnacentral:rRNA from 1 species